CCACCAACAUGGACGCUGUUUCUUGCCUGUCUUUGAGGCACUGUUGCUUAUGGAGUUGUCUCAGCGGGAAAUAAAUAUUAUAUAUUAAAGGUCCUUAUUUUUGAUGGUUUCAGUAGUGCCGAGGAUCUCACACAUGGGUUGAUUGUCUGGCUAUUUCAUUAAAGAUGGUUAAACUGCCUAAUAAAAUUUGCACAUUCAGCUA